rnacentral:rRNA from 1 species
UACGAAGGGUGCAAGCGUUGUUCGGAAUCAUUGGGCGUAAAGCGCGCGCAGGCGGAUCAGCAAGUCAGAUGUGAAAUCUCGGAGCUCAACUUCGAAACUGCGUCUGAAACUGCUAGUCUAGAAUAUCGGAGGGGGCAGGGGAAUUUCACGUGUAGGGGUAAAAUCCGUAGAGAUGUGAAGGAACACCGGGGGGCGAAGGCGGUUAGCUGGGCAGUUGCUGACACUGAGGCGCGACAGCGUGGGGAGCAAACAGG